rnacentral:rRNA from 1 species
GAAAUUAGAAAAUAUUUUCCCGAGCAAGCCCAAUCCUGACUGAUUUCAGAAGCUAAGCAGGGUCAGGCCUGGUUAGUACUUGGAUGGGAGACCAUCUAGGAAGACCAGGGGCUGUAGGCA